rnacentral:lncRNA from 1 species
AUUACCAUCAAAAGCAUCUACAGCCGAGUAGAUGGAGACAAUAUAAAAACGUUAUAUCUCAAUAAUGUUCAUAACACAAAAUUCGUUUCAAUCUAUACCAAACAAUUUCUUUUCAUCAAAAUUUCCCGGCUUAUGAAUUUUUUAAACUUGGCCCCUGCCAGAAUCAUUCUCGCAAGUACCUUCGUCAAGGUAUCCCACUAAGACCGCCAAGGCUGUUCAAUGACCCAUACCCAUAAACAUGUUUUCACAUCUAACACACAGUCGUUCCUUGGGGUUGGCUGAGUCUCACUCUCACGUGGUGGCUCAAACGUGAGGUGCACUCAAAUCAUACCUCAGGAGAUACUUCACCCAACAUCUCCCCCCGGAGGUA